CUCUUUCUUGGUAAAUCGGCCUCUAAGAACUCUUUACUGAGCUUUGCUGCACUGUCCAAGUUGAGGGUUGGUGCCAGCACACCCAUACCUCUGGGAGACUUUGCAAGAACUGUUCUAGGAUCACUGCAGCCAUCUCUUCCUCCAGCCCCUGGCUCUCUGCUCUCAACCGCUGGGGCACAACAGGGAUGAGCAAUGCCAGGUGAAGGAGGAAGAAUUGCAGGAGUCCUACCAAAGGGCAAAGGAGGCCAACAGACCAUUUGGUGCUGCCCCCCUAUACCUGCUGCUACUAUGCAGAACUUCAUGCAACACUGAGUGAGGAGCCCAGCAUCACCCCACAAGUGACAGUGGACACCUCAUGACAUCUGAAGGAAGGCAUCCCACAACUAUACAAUGAUGAAGAGAAGGGGGAGGCGGAGUUCAGGAAGAGUCAGGAUCCAGCCAACUCUGAGCCAGUCAAACCCAGGAAUGGAACCCACCGAGAAAGGGGAAGGGAAUUCUGUGGCCUCAGUUGGGGUAUCCAUACUCCUCCACAUUUGCUAAAAGACUGACCUGGAUACAGAUGAAUAAGAAACAAACAAGGGAAAAUAUAUUCUCUGCAACGUUGCCCCUUCCACUCAAUACAGCUAGAAAAUAAGGAGAACUCUUAUGGCUACAUCUACACUGACCUGUAAAUUAUCCCUCUGCAUUUUGCACGUUUUCAAUGUUUUUAAUCUUUUUUUAAAUAGUGUGUUCGUUGUUUAUUACUGCACACUAAAGUGUGAAGCACAUUGUGACAUGCUGUAUUUCAAAAUAGCAUCGCCAUAUUCAACACUAAUAUGAUUAUGAUAGGUUUUGUACAAAGUAUGCCUUGUGAGGUAUCAUUUAAAAAGUCUUGAUCUGUUGAACAUUAAUAGCCUGUGGAAUUGUAUGUGCUGUCAUUGUAUGUGAAGUUAUGAAGUAUUGCUACAUGUUUGCUACUGAAAUACAGGCAAGUCUUAUCUUAUGUGGGGGUUCCGUUCCAUGGUUAGCGCGUAAAGCGAAAACCGCGUAUACUCAAAAUUACAUCCCCAAGCCCUUUAAAUCCCAUCUGCAGCUCCGGCGGCUGGGCUGGGGCGACAUUUAAAGGGCUCCUCU